rnacentral:lncRNA from 1 species
CUUCCCUCCCCGACUGGGAGUGGAGACAAGCCCCUGCCAGAUCACACGCCUUUCUAAGCCCGUAGCAGCUUCGCCCGGCCAUGGAACACAUGCAAGUACCCUCUCAUCGCCACAACCGCACCUCUGCGCAGCGGAGCAGCCGGCCGGGCCGCUGACGCAUGAUCUUGCCCAAUUCAUUUAACUUUGCUAAGGCUCAGUUUCUUCAACUAUAAAAGAAAGAUAUUGUUACAGGUAUCUGGAAUUUCAGAAUGUUAAGCAGAAAACAAGGAUUAAUGAAGUUCUACAGACUGGGCAAUGAAGCUAAGAAGAACAUACUACAAAUGGGAGGCUCCAUAACUAACCACAGCUCAACACUGACAUAAUCUACUCAAGCCACCGUCAGAAAAGACCACUUCUAGAUGACACCAGGUGUUAA